rnacentral:rRNA from 1 species
GACGACGCUGGCGGCGUGCUUAACACAUGCAAGUCGAACGGUGACGAGGAGCUUGCUCCUCCGAUCAGUGGCGAACGGGUGAGUAACACGUGAGCAACCUGCCCCAGACUCUGGGAUAACAGUUGGAAACAGCUGCUAAUACCGGAUACGAGACGGAGAGGCAUCUCUACCGUCUGGAAAGUUUUUCGGUCUGGGAUGGACUCGCGGCCUAUCAGCUAGUUGGUGAGGUAAUGGCUCACCAAGGCGACGACGGGUAGCCGGCCUGAGAGGGCGACCGGCCACACUGGGACUGAGACACGGCCCAGACUCCUACGGGAGGCAGCAGUGGGGAAUAUUGCACAAUGGGCGAAAGCCUGAUGCAGCGACGCCGCGUGAGGGAUGACGGCCUUCGGGUUGUAAACCUCUUUCAGCAGGGAAGAAGCGCAAGUGACGGUACCUGCAGAAGAAGCACCGGCUAACUACGUG